CAACAUUUAAAUAAAUCUUCAUUUAUUUUGGUAAAUAUUUAUAUAAAGAUAAUAUUAUAGCAAAUAGUUUUUCUGUAAUGUAUAAUAAAAUUGUACACUGAGGUAAUAAUUUUUAAAACUUGAAAUGUAAGUUGUGAUUUUUAUAAAUUAUGAUGAUUUUCAAGUUCCCAUGUGGUUGUUAUUCGUAAAUAUAGUUCUAUUAACCAUAACAAAUUGUCAUAGGGUUCAACCCAGUGAGUUUCACACAUUUUUAAAAUUGUUUGGUGACAUGUGCCUGGAAUUAGGUUUUUUAUGAACUCUUUAAAAAAUAGUAGGUAUAGAUCCCAAUAUAAUUUUUUAUUUCUGGAAUUUCACAUGAUUUACUAAUGGCAAGGUUAAAGGUGGUGCAAUUUAUAUAUGAAGCAUAAGGUAUUAAAUCACAUAUAUUUUUUUUGAACUAAAUUAUAUACAUGAUGAUUAAUCUACCAUAAGACACUCAUUAUCUCAGAAAGUAUUAACAUUUUUUAGAAUUUGUUUUAUAGAACAAUUUAAGAAACAAGCAGCUCUACAAUUUCACAUUUAUGUUAUUUUUUUGUUAUACCUUUUUUUAGGGGUAAAACCACUACCUACUUUUAAUUUUCAAAUAGCAACCUACAAUUAAAGUUCCAUAAAUAGCUGGUGUAGGUUUUAGUUAAAAUAAAUGUUGGUGUUGAAAUUAUUGAUUUAAUAAUGUAACAGUAAAUAGUACACAGUCAUUAAGAAAUAAAAUACAUGGUAAACAUUUAUAUUAUUACUCAAUAAGUACUUCUGAAAAACUGACUAAAUAUAAAACUGUGGAACAAUUGUAGUUAUGAACCAAUGAAGUCAAACAAGAUAACCAUAAUAUAAACAUAUAUCAUUUUCUAAAAUUUAAGAUCAUGUGUAAUGACUAGUGAAUUGGAAAUAUACAAAAUAUGCUUAAAAUAUAAUGUACCUAGUUGUACAAUUAUUUAUAUAAUUUGUAGUUAGUCUUUAUUGUUAUAUUAUAAAUAUAUAUCUACUUUUAAAAUUUCUAGGUGGAGGGUCGGUUGAACCCUGUAUACAGGCUUGUUACAUUUAAAUUAAUUUGUUUAAUAAAUUAUAUUGACAAUCUGAAUUAUGAUAACAAAGCAUUAGUUAGGUACCUAAUACUUAUGUAAAAAUAAUGUUAAAUUGUUUAUUAAUCAUCUGUUUUAACGUAAGUAUCUACUAUAGGUAAUUAUACUAUAUCAAUAACUCAAAGGAUUAAGUAUAUAUAUGGAUAGAUAACAAAAUCAAAUAUCUUAUGAAGUAUUACAGUAAAACAUUAAAAAUUAGUUGUAUUUUUUUUUUUUUUAUAUAUAAAUUAUAUUUUUAAUUGGACUCCAUUUGUACUGAUGUAAAUAGAUAAAUAAAAUUAGUUAAAAUAAAACGUUGUUACGUGAAUUUUCAAAAAUGAUAAAGAAUCAAUAAAGAAAUCAUAAUCUUUAAAUUCAUUAGCAGAGGAGAAGAGGUGACAUAAAAGGCUAUUUGCAGAGUUUUUAUAAUAACUUAUACUUAUUAAUUAUUAUAUAUAUUGGCACAAGAAAAGUGGUGUUUGAUUUCAUUAAAAUAUUAGGGACUCUCAUAAGCGCAAUUAGGGGAGGCUUGGGUGUGCUUAGCGCCCUUAGUUUUAAAAUUAGCACCCCUAAAAAUGUGUCAUGUUAUUGUAAAAAAAAACAUUGUACUGAAAGGAAAAUGAUUAAAAUAAUAAUAAUGGUUUUUAUUGGUUUCUAUUUGUUUUCCGAAUAUUCCUGUCGAAUAUAUCAGAUAUUUUAUUUAAACAAAAAAGGCAUUAAUUGAAUGGUAUAAUUGAGGUUUUUUUUCUAGGGGCCUUCAUCACUCAAAUUUUUAAUUGAAAUUGCGACCCUAGAACUCUAAAUUCUACUAGGUCAAGAAAUUCAGAAAAAUCUAUUUGAUCAUCAUAAACCAGUUUAUGUAUGAAAGCUACAUUGUUAAAUAUAAUUUAACAUAACUACCCAAGUGUAUGGCCUUGUAAUUUUACAAUUUUACAAUUUUAUCCACAGAGUACCUAGCAAAUAAAUAUUACGUAAAAAAAAC